GUUGAACGCUGGCGGCAGGCCUAACACAUGCAAGUCGAACGAGUAGAGGACGGGUGAGUAAGGUCUGGGAAACUGCCUGAUGGAGGGGGAUAACUGCGGGAAACGGUGGCUAAUACCGCAUACCAUCCGAUGGGCCCAGAUGGCUUUAGCUGGUUGGUGGGGAAACGGCUCACAAAGGCGACGAUCCCUAGCUGGGCUGAGAGGAUGACCAGCCACACUGGAACUGAGACACGGUCCAGACUCCUACGGGAGGCAGCAGUGGGGAAUAUUGCACAAUGGGCGCAAGCCUGAUGCAGCCAUGCCGCGUGUGUGAAGAAGGCCUUCGGGUUGUAAAGUACUUUCAGCGGGGAGGCGUUACCCGCAGAAGAAGCACCGGCUAACUCCGUGCCAGCAGCCGCGGUAAUUC
rnacentral:rRNA from 1 species